UACGGAGGGUGCAAGCGUUGUCCGGAAUCACUGGGCGUAAAGGGCGCGUAGGCGGCUCGGUAAGUAGGGGGUGAAAUCCUGCGGCUUAACCGCAGGGCUGCCUUCUAAACUGUCGAGCUUGAGCACGGUAGAGGCAGAUGGAAUUCCCGGUGUAGCGGUGGAAUGCGUAGAGAUCGGGAAGAACAUCAGUGGCGAAGGCGGUUAGCUGGGCAGUUGCUGACACUGAGGCGCGACAGCGUGGGGAGCAAACAGG
rnacentral:rRNA from 1 species